ensembl:lncRNA
CGGGAGUUCAAGGCUACAGGGAGCCAUGAUCAUGACACUGCACUCCAGCCUGGAUGACAGAGAGAGAUCUCAUCUCUAAAUACAUACAUUUUUAAUGACUAUUAAUGAAUAUCACAAUACAUAUGUGUAUAGCAACUGUGCUUUACACGGAUCUCAUUUUGAUUAAUGAGAGGUGCUGCUGUUUCAUUGAUGAGGCGCCCAAGGCUCAGAGGGGUUGAAUCCCUUGCACAAGAACGCCAGGCUAGUGACUGGCAGAAGCAGGACUUAGGCCUGGCAAUGGGACUUGGUGUGUGCUCAGUGGAAGCUCAGAGAGGUUGUGAAAUUUGGCCAAUGUCUCAACAGCCAGUCGAUGUGAGAAGAAAGGGAUUGGACCCUUAGCUGUCUGGCUGCAACUCAUCUGCUGUGCCCUCAGCUUUUUCUGGUGUGCAGAUAGAGGGUGGGACUGGCAUUGCCUGGGACAGUCCCUAACAUGGGACAGGUAAGUAAAAGUACUAAAUAAUACAUGGUCUGGCACCCCAGCCAGGUCUCACCCCAGAGCCCAGGCGGGGGGAAUCGGACCCUUCCCUGGGUAUCACGUGGGAAACAGGCCACUUCUGGCCGCUUAUUGUUUACUUAUUCACAGCCUUCGAUGAUAUCACACCUGCACACCUCCGCAAGGAACCCGGUGGAGAGGAUGAGUGAAAUAGCCUGUGGGCAGCAGAGCCUGGAAGAACAGAGAACGACAAGCCUGUGCAGCCUUGGACUGUUUUGCCCUAAACAAGAAGAAAUCUACAAGGAAAGGAAGAAAUGUAGGAGAGAGUCCAGAUUCCAGUGAGACUCGGGCCUGACUCUAACCAGCUCAUGGCCUGGAAACUUUCCUCCCUUCUACAUUUUCUUGUCCAGGGUAAGCACAGGUGCAGAGGAAAAUGACCAUCCCUGGUCACACACAGUGGCUCACGCCUGUAAUCUCAGCACUUUGGGAGACUGAAGCAGGAAGAUCGCUUGAGCCCAGGAGUUGAAGACCAGCCUAGGCAACAUAGCAAGACCCCAUCUCUAGAAAAAAAAAAAAAAAAACCUCCCCAAAUUAGCCAGGUGUGGUGGCGCACGCCUGUUGUCCCAGCUACUCAGGAGGCUGAGGUAGAAGGAUCACUUGAUCCGGGAGGUGGAGGCUGCAGUGAGCUGUGAUUGUGUCACUGUACUCCAGUCUGGGCAACAGAGUGAGACCUUGUCUUAAAUAAAAAUAAAUAAAAAUAAAUUUAAAAAAAAAGGAAAAGAAAAUAACCCUGGAGGAGUGCUACUCCUCCUCACUCCUUUUGCCUCUCCUCCUCUCAUCUGUUCUCUUCCCC